rnacentral:rRNA from 1 species
GUCUACAGCCAUACCACCCUGAAUGUGCUCGAUCUCAUCUGAUCUCGGAAGCUAAGCAGGGUCGUGCCUGGUUAGUACUUGGAUGGGAGAGUCCUGCAUAAUAUACA